AGAGAGAGAUGGAAGAGUCAGGACUCAGGAAGACUACCCGAGCACCCGGAGUUCUUUCACUUCUUUGAACUCCGCCGAGCUUUCACGGCGAUGGUCGGAUGCCCGGAGCUUCACGGGGACAUGUCGUCUCACGGUCUCACCUCCACGCUUAGCAGCCUCAGAUGACCCAAACCUAUCCCCCGUUGUAAUUCUCUCUCAGCCGUUGGCCCUCGCCGCCGGCCACACCGCCAGCCACCGAAUCCACAUUUAUACU
rnacentral:lncRNA from 1 species